CCGCCCGCCCCUCCCCCCGGCAGAUCCUGGGGCUGCUGCUGCUCCUCAUGGCCCUGGGGGGGCUGGUGCACGGGCUGGCCUACAGGUACGUGGCCGGGGCUCACGCCGCCUUCCUGGACCGGCAGGACCGGGAGCUGCGAGCGAUCUACGAGAGAGCGCGGAGCCGGGCGGGGACGCACGAGGAGGUUCUGAGGAGGCUCCGGGCGCGGGGGAGGGGCCGGGGAGGGGGAGGGGACGGCGAGG